rnacentral:rRNA from 1 species
GCGGCAGGCCUAACACAUGCAAGUCGAACGGUAACAGGAAGCAGCUUGCUGCUUUGCUGACGAGUGGCGGACGGGUGAGUAAUGUCUGGGAAACUGCCUGAUGGAGGGGGAUAACUACUGGAAACGGUGGCUAAUACCGCAUAACGUCGCAAGACCAAAGAGGGGGACCUUCGGGCCUCUUGCCAUCAGAUGUGCCCAGAUGGGAUUAGCUUGUUGGUGAGGUAACGGCUCACCAAGGCGACGAUCCCUAGCUGGUCUGAGAGGAUGACCAGCCACACUGGAACUGAGACACGGUCCAGACUCCUACGGGAGGCAGCAGUGGGGAAUAUUGCACAAUGGGCGCAAGCCUGAUGCAGCCAUGCCGCGUGUAUGAAGAAGGCCUUCGGGUUGUAAAGUACUUUCAGCGGGGAGGAAGGUGUUGUGGUUAAUAACCGCAGCAAUUGACGUUACCCGCAGAAGAAGCACCGGCUAACUCCGUGCCAGCAGCCGCGGUAAUACGGAGGGUGCAAGCGUUAAUCGGAAUUACUGGGCGUAAAGCGCACGCAGGCGGUCUGUCAAGUCGGAUGUGAAAUCCCCGGGCUCAACCUGGGAACUGCAUUCGAAACUGGCAGGCUUGAGUCUUGUAGAGGGGGGUAGAAUUCCAGGUGUAGCGGUGAAAUGCGUAGAGAUCUGGAGGAAUACCGGUGGCGAAGGCGGCCCCCUGGACAAAGACUGACGCUCAGGUGCGAAAGCGUGGGGAGCAAACAGGAUUAGAUACCCUGGUAGUCCACGCCGUAAACGAUGUCUACUUGGAGGUUGUGCCCUUGAGGCGUGGCUUCCGGAGCUAACGCGUUAAGUAGACCGCCUGGGGAGUACGGCCGCAAGGUUAAAACUCAAAUGAAUUGACGGGGGCCCGCACAAGCGGUGGAGCAUGUGGUUUAAUUCGAUGCAACGCGAAGAACCUUACCUGGUCUUGACAUCCACAGAACUUUCCAGAGAUGGAUUGGUGCCUUCGGGAACUGUGAGACAGGUGCUGCAUGGCUGUCGUCAGCUCGUGUUGUGAAAUGUUGGGUUAAGUCCCGCAACGAGCGCAACCCUUAUCCUUUGUUGCCAGCGGUCCGGCCGGGAACUCAAAGGAGACUGCCAGUGAUAAACUGGAGGAAGGUGGGGA